CCCUUGCUCGCCCCGCCGCAGCCCGGGGAGGGCGGCGAGUCCCUGUUUAGGCUGGCCGCGGGGGCCGGGGGGCGGCCGGCCGGGCGCGGUGCGGCCGCGGAGCUGGAGCUGGGCUGGCGGGCGGGUGGGUUCCCCGCGGCCGGCCGCGCUCGCCGCCGCCUUCCCCUGCACGCACGCACUUCGCGGAACAAGAGGACCACUGAGAAGGUUUAUUCCCAAGCCCCUGCCUGGUUUGGAGCAGCUGCUGGCAAGAUGCCUUUCCUUCUUAUUCUGGGGAAUUUUAAGAAAAGCACAAAGCCGAGAGUGCCUGAGUGCAGUGCGUCUCUCCAGCAGAAAACCAAGAGCCCUGCUGCAGUUCCGGACAACAUGUGUGUCUCAUCAGAUUGCUGGGGCGAUUUGUAUGCUGGAUUCUCUGCUCGGAACCCUUUUGGGGAUGCUACUGUCCUAUAUUAUACAUGACAUAGCUCCUAGACUAUGGACAAUGCAGCUGCUGGUGAGAAGGAACCAGCAGUGGGAUACAGCAGAGAUCCCUGUGCUCAGCAUGGCUUGUCUGAAAAUGGGAUUUGCUGGUGGAGGCAACCAACAGCUUCACAGCAUCUGCCACCUCCUCCAUCAGAUUCCUCAUCUGAGACCUGUGAGGCUGACACAGAGGCAUCACGCUCCAAUAUGGGGUGAUGGGGGGGCCCUGCCAGUGUGCUCACUGCCAUGCUCCUACUCAGAGAUGCCAGUGCUUGUAUGAGUACAUUCCCCUUUCACGCAGGGGAAAACCAAUAUACACACUCACUCUUCAUGCCAACUAACUUAAGAUGAUGAUUUCAUUCUGCUCUGCUCUUGUCUGCCACGUGCAUGCACAGUGAACAUAACUUUUAAAGUUUGACGACAUUUUUAGGAAGAUACUACCCAUAGCAAUAGUAACAACAAGCUCUUUUCUCUAUGGAAAGUGGCUACACCAUCCUGUUCUCUCAGGAUAUUAUUCCAUCCACACCGGACAGAGAACGCCCAGAAUAUUAGCACUUUGGCUUGAGUUUUCCCAGAACAAUUGUGUUUAAGGCAUAGAGCUGGCACAGACAAUAUUAUCUCAGAUAGUUCCACCCUGGCAGCAUUACAGGAAACCAGUGGUUCAGCCUUACUCUGGGAAACACAGUCUGGACUACCAGCCCCUAUGUAACAUAUGGAUUUAUUGGCAUUCAAUACUGAGAGCAAAACCCUAUGCAUUUCUAUAUAUAGACAUAAUUAUUCUGAAAGCAUUUCAGAAUCAGUUUGAAGUCACAAGUUACAUAAAAAUAGCACAGUUGUGUAAAGGCAAAAUAAAACCUUCAUGAAA
rnacentral:lncRNA from 1 species